AUAUGACAAUAUGUAUUGUGAUUUUCCAAGCAGGGAGAGACCUCAUAGUGUUCCCCAAACUACUUUGACCAAGAAACCCUUUGUGAUCAUGCAUCUUGCAGGUUUGGUGUUCCACAGACUCUUUGAUAAACACAACUUUGGUGCAUUGUAGAAUAAACCUCCUUCUUUUUUGAUUCACUAGCCCUUAGGAUAUUUGAAGGCAGCAGUUUCUGUCCUUAGAUCUCUCUUUUGUGGGGCAAAAUCUCCAGUAUGUCCAAGUUUUGCUCUAGCAUCUUCUGUUUCCUUCUCCUGUUCUCUGGUUAGUCGGGGGCCUGAUCCGGCUCCCAUAUUAUGUGGGGACAGUGGAAGACCCCAGGCAAGUCCUUUAGACAAACUGGUCCACAAAGAGAAGGACCUCCAGCUGGUCUAAAGGAACUUUGAGUAGCUUGAAUAAUGUGCUCUGCUCUUUUCAGAACUGUCUUCUUAAGUUUCUGGUGCUGCCAUUUCUUUUAAGUGUUUUCUUGGUGAAGGGACUUGUUUCAUGAAACAACCUUCAGGGGCUCACAGUAUGUGAGCAGGUCGGUUUCUUUCCAUUUCUCCUGCCUCCUCUUCAUUCCUCUUCACCCAGGCAGAUUCUCCUUGGUGGUUGCAAGAUGGCUGCAGCAGCCCCCAAGGCCACAUCCUUUGUCAUUCAUGUCCAUCAGGAAAGGGCAGGUUCUGCUUCUUGUAAUACUUCUAAUCUUCAGAGACUUCUGACUGCUGAGAGUUUAUCUGGACUGAAAUAGAUUGGCCUUUCCUUUAGUUUGCUUCCUGAUUGAGUGUAUUUCCAACCAGACUGACAGUUUCACUGCUUAGAGGCAUCUGAGACUAGAGGGAAGGAAGCAAGAGAAAUCCAACAUCAGUGGAUGGAGAGGACCUUAAACUCUAUCUUAGUUAGCCUCUUGUUCUUGGUAGUUUCAUAAUUUCUCUCUCUCCCCCACCCCCCUUUUUAGCCGGGGUUCAGAGAGGUUAAGUGGUUUUUCAGAGGUCACACAGAGAGUUGGGGGGCAGUGCUAUGUUAGAGACUUUCCU
rnacentral:lncRNA from 1 species